rnacentral:lncRNA from 1 species
GAUUUUCCUGGAGUUACACAGAUCACUGAAGACAAUGCUUAUCAAUCCUGACAUCCUACAGAAGAACCAGAGGUAAGGCCCAAGGCAAAAAGCAGUGAGUGAGAAAGGGGCCUGGCCACUGCCUCUGUGUGCACUGCCUUGGUAGCUCAUCCCUUUAAACUUCAUGACCGGACUGCAUCAGCAAUUGGAUAGAGGCCACACCAGCAACUUUCAACCUGUGGACUUCCCCUUGUGAAAUCAACACUUGAAGUGAAAAGUUUCUAAAGAAUAGGUGACAAAGGAGAUAAGUGAAUGCUAAGAAAAAACAGCAAUUUCAAUGGACCAUAGGCUUUUGGCUCGCUGACUGGAAGAACAAAUAAA